AAUCAACGCUGGCGGCGUGCCUAACACAUGCAAGUCGAACGCGAAAGCCCCUUCGGGGGUAAGUAGAGUGGCGUCCGGGUGAGUAACACGUAGGUAAUCUACCUUCGGGUGGGGAAUAACUCGCCGAAAGGCGAGCUAAUACCGCAUAAUGCAGCGGCACCUAAUGGUGAUUAGUUGUUAAAGCGGGGGAUCGUAAGACCUCGCGCCUGAAGAGGAGCCUGCGGCAGAUUAGCUAGUUGGGAGGUAAUGGCUCACCAAGGCUUCGAUCUGUAGCUGGUCUGAGAGGACGGCCAGCCACACUGGCACUGACACACGGGCCAGACUCCUACGGGAGGCAGCAGUGGGAAUUUUGGGCAAUGGGCGCAAGCCUGACCCAGCAACGCCG
rnacentral:rRNA from 1 species